GGCUAGCGCUCGCUACGCUUGGCCUGCCGAGGCAAAAAGCAUUCGUGACGUACUUCCGGCUGGGUUUGGCCCAGCAGCCUGUUACCCUAGGUCGCUGUUAACUCGUGCAUGUUGGGGGCCAGAAGUACGGAGCGAUGUCAGUCUUUUUUGCCUUGUUUUUGUCAUAUAAGAUCCGAUAUCUGUCCAAACGCCAACGUGGUACAUCCGACAAUUCUCG
rnacentral:lncRNA from 1 species